rnacentral:rRNA from 1 species
AUGAACGCUAGCGACAGGCCUAACACAUGCAAGUCGAGGGCAGCACAAGGAGCAAUCUGAGGUGGCGACCGGCGCACGGGUGAGUAACACGUAUGCAACCUGCCUGUAAGCGGGGAAUAACCCGUUGAAAGACGGACUAAUACCGCAUAAUACUAAAUUACUGCAUGGUAAUUAUUUAAACAUUUAUGGCUUACAGAUGGGCAUGCGCAUGAUUAGCUAGUUGGAGAGGUAACGGCUCCCCAAGGCAACGAUCAUUAGGGGUUCUGAGAGGAAGGUCCCCACACUGGUACUGAGACACGGACCAGACUCCUACGGGAGGCAGCAGUGAGGAAUAUUGGUCAAUGGACGAGAGUCUGAACCAGCCAAGUCGCGUGCAGGAAGAAUGUCCUAAUGGAUUGUAAACUGCUUUUGCAGGGGUAAUAAAGUGCAUCACGUGUGAUGUUUUGUAUGUACUCUGCGAAUAAGGAUCGGCUAACUCCGUGCCAGCAGCUGC